rnacentral:tRNA from 1 species
UAUGUUGUAGACUAAUAGGCAGGUCGUGAAUUUUUGAUAUUUAUUAUUGAGUGUUCGAAUCACUCCAACAUAA